GAUGAACGCUGGCGGCGUGCUUAACACAUGCAAGUCGAACGAUGAAGCCCAGCUUGCUGGGUGGAUUAGUGGCGAACGGGUGAGUAACACGUGAGUAACCUGCCCUUAACUCUGGGAUAGCCUGGGAAACUGGGUCUAAUACCGGAUAGGAGCGUCCACCGCAUGGUGGGUGUUGGAAAGAUUUAUCGGUUUUGGAUGGACUCGCGGCCUAUCAGCUUGUUGGUGAGGUAAUGGCUCACCAAGGCGACGACGGGUAGCCGGCCUGAGAGGGUGACCGGCCACACUGGGACUGAGACACGGCCCAGACUCCUACGGGAGGCAGCAGUGGGGAAUAUUGCACAAUGGGCGCAAGCCUGAUGCAGCGGCGCCGCGUGAGGGAUGACGGCCUUCGGGUUGUAAACCUCUUUCAGUAGGGAAGAAGCGAAAGUGACGGUACCUGCAGAAGAAGCACCGGCUAACUACGUG
rnacentral:rRNA from 1 species